UACGUAGGGACCAAGCGUUGUUCGGAUUUACUGGGCGUAAAGGGCGCGUAGGCGGCGUGGUAAGUCACUUGUGAAAUCUCUGAGCUUAACUCAGAACGGCCAAGUGAUACUGCUGUGCUAGAGUGCAGAAGGGGCAAUCGGAAUUCUUGGUGUAGCGGUGAAAUGCGUAGCUAUCAAGAGGAACACCUGAGGUGAAGACGGGUUGCUGGGCUGACACUGACGCUGAGGCGCGAAAGCCAGGGGAGCAAACGGG
rnacentral:rRNA from 1 species